rnacentral:rRNA from 1 species
GAUGAACGCUGGCGGCGUGCCUAAUACAUGCAAGUCGAGCGAACGGACGAGAAGCUUGCUUCUCUGAUGUUAGCGGCGGACGGGUGAGUAACACGUGGAUAACCUACCUAUAAGACUGGGAUAACUUCGGGAAACCGGAGCUAAUACCGGAUAAUAUUUUGAACCGCAUGGUUCAAAGGUGAAAGACGGUCUUGCUGUCACUUAUAGAUGGAUCCGCGCUGCAUUAGCUAGUUGGUAAGGUAACGGCUUACCAAGGCAACGAUGCAUAGCCGACCUGAGAGGGUGAUCGGCCACACUGGAACUGAGACACGGUCCAGACUCCUACGGGAGGCAGCAGUAGGGAAUCUUCCGCAAUGGGCGAAAGCCUGACGGAGCAACGCCGCGUGAGCGAUGAAGGUCUUCGGAUCGUAAAACUCUGUUAUUAGGGAAGAACAUAUGUGUAAGUAACUGUGCACAUCUUGACGGUACCUAAUCAGAAAGCCACGGCUAACUACGUG